rnacentral:tRNA from 1 species
GCCCUCGUAGCAAAGUGGUCAAUGCGUCCGCCUUGUAAGCGGAAGGUCGUCGGUUCGAAUCCGAUCGUGGGCA